UGGUGUUGUCUCGAUAUCCUAGUAGCAUGAGUUCGUAUCCCGGCGUGGGAAGAACAAAAUUUGUUUCCGCAAAUUUGCAGAUUUAACAUUGUUGUACUGCCGGAUAUUUAGAGCUGGUUCUUUCACUCGCAACAUACGGGUGUUAGAGCCAAACAGAUAAAGUACAGGGAACCAGAAUAUUCUUUCGGAACACUGUGACCCAAGAAGUACCGGGAUGGCGGAUUUUUCGACUUGCCAGGUUUUUGAACUCCCAAAUUUAAUACAAAUCAAAACUGAUUUAAUCAGGGCAAACAAAGAAUGUUCACGGCGUAAACUACUUAACAGUGCUAAAUGGGCUGCAGAAUUAUCAUCAGCCAUAGAUGCAUCAGUUGAUUACCAACAAAUCUUGCUUCUACAGGAACCAAAGGAUUAUUAUGAUGAGUAUGAUAAGUUUGCUUUGGCCUCAAGUUAUUUUGAUCUGAAAGAGUAUGACAGAGCAGUAUACUUCUUGCAAGAAUGCAGUAGUUCAAAUAACUAUUUUUUGUACCUGUAUGGUCGCUAUCUGGCUGAUGAAAAAAGAAAAGUUGAUAAUGCUUCAGACUCUAUAGGUCCUCCUGAUCACCUAGAAAAUGAGCAUUUGAAAACUUUAAAAAUAGAACUAAGUAAAAAAUACAUAAUGAAAGAACUUGAUGGAUUUUGUUUAUAUUUAUAUGGUAUAGUUUUAAAGAAGCUAGACUUACUAAAAGAAGCUUUAGAGAUGUUGGUAGAAGCUGUUAAUUACGAACCAUUACAUUGGGGUGCAUGGUUAGAACUUGCUGUUCUCAUACCUGAUAAAGAAACUCUGUUGUCAUUAUCAUUACCCAACCAUUGGAUGAAGAAUUUAUUCUUAGGACACAUGUACUUAGAACUACAGCUAAAUGAGGAAGCCCUUAAAAUUUAUCAAGGUCUUGUAGAUGGAGGAUUUAGUAAAAGUACAUACAUUGUAUCCCAGAUGGCUGUAGUUUAUCAUAAUAUGAGAGAGAUUGAUAUGUCAGUGACAGCAUUUGCAGAAUUACAAGAAUUAGAUCCAUAUAGAUUAGAAAACAUGGACACAUACUCAAAUUUACUCUAUAUAAAGGAGAUGAGAGCAGAUCUUGCCCAUUUAGCACAUAGAUGUUGUGAUAUUGAUAAAUACAGAGUUGAAACAUGUUGUGUAAUAGGAAAUUAUUAUUCAUUAAGACAACAACAUGAGAAAGCUGUAAUGUAUUUCCAAAGAGCAUUAAAACUAAACCCUCAUUAUCUGUCAGCAUGGACAUUGAUGGGACAUGAAUUUAUGGAAUUAAAAAAUACCUCAGCAGCAUUGCAGGCUUACAGACAAGCAAUAGAGGUAAACAGGAGGGAUUAUAGAGCCUGGUAUGGAUUAGGACAGACAUAUGAAAUUCUGAAAAUGUAUCAUUAUUGUUUAUAUUAUUACAGACAAGCUCAACAGCUGAGACCCAAUGAUUCCAGAAUGGUUGUAGCACUUGGAGAGUCUUAUGAGAAAUUAGAAAGAUUACAGGAGGCAAAAAAAUGUUUUAGGAAAGCCCAUAGUAUUGGUGAUGUAGAAGGAAUGGCCAUCAUUAAAUUAGCAAAACUUCACGAGAGGCUAUCAGAAGAAACACAUGCUGCUGCUGCUUAUACAGAAUAUGUUAAUGAAGCUAACAGACAAGGGAUAUUUAACCCUGAGGAUUUAAGCCAAGCUUAUAAAUAUCUGGCCAAUUUUAACUUUGCUCAAGGUCAGUUAGAUGAAGCAUAUGCUGCAGCCCAGAAAUGCACAGAAUUUCAAGAGACAAGAGAAGAAGCUAAAGUUAUUCUACGUAAUAUACAGGACCUAAGAUCCAAGAAGGAAACUGUAUCAGACAUUAGAAUGGAUGACAGUUGUGGUUCUAUAACAACAGAGAGAUUCCAUGGAGCAGAUCACACACCAAUUAGUUCAUUAUCACCAGUAAAUCUUAGAUUCACACCUGGUGAUUCUUGUUAAAAUAAAGAUCAAAUAAUGUGUGGUAUUUGUAAUAAGCUCAUCAAAGCAUAUAUAUAUAGCUGUCCAAAAAGGAUUAAAGACAAAUGGACAUUGUAAUGGGCAUGAAAAGAAAUAUGAUUGAAAGAAACCUCUCUCAUUUAUUAUCAUGGACUAGAUUUGUUUUGGUUUUUUUUAAAUCAGGUUUUUAUUAGCUUUGUAACUGAGAGAAAAUCAAACUAAGAAAAUGAU